CCUCAGGGUACCCUAGGCUCGGCUCUGCACGGGGUGCCUCAGUGGGCCUUGAUGUUCCCGAUCUCUCCUCCUCCUCCUCCCGUUGGCCUCGCUCUCCUCUUCCUCUUCGUGCCUAGUGGGCAGCAGAGGCCGCGUUUUUUUUUCACUUUCAUCUGCAAACAGACUGGCCAGGGAUCCGGCUGAAGUGCGGAUUUCCUUCGGGAGGUCUGCCUUCCGAACAGUUCCCAGGUGACGCCCACGUGGCUGACCCUCUGAGACGAUCUCAUUUUGGCUUUAGGGAGUAGAAAAAGGAUCAGGGACAGUCUCACGAGUCGGUGUGCUGGGUUCAGAUUGGAGUUCUUUCUCUCACCGGUUGUGUGACUGCCGGCAAGGGUAAACCUCUCGCCUUUCCUGGAAAAAGAACUACUCACAGCACCCAUUACCUAAGACGCUGGGCGGAUGAAGAGCAAUAGCGCGCCCAGCCCCCAAUGUCAGGAAAAUUGGACCGAGGGGGCGGUGCCGACGCGGAGGGGCGGGCGCUGCAACCCUUCGCGCAUGCGCAGCUCCUCGGACGCGCGCUUCAGGAUGGCCCGUUCAAUGGAACCACUGGCAAAGAAGAUCUUUAAAGGAGUUUUAGUAGCUGAACUUAUCGGUAUUUUUGGAGCAUAUUUUUUGUUUACAAAGAUGAACACAAGCCAAGAUUUCAGGCAAACAAUGAGCAAGAAAUUUCCCUUCAUCUUGGAAGUUUAUUACAAAUCCAUUGAACAGUCUGGAAUGUAUGGGAUCAGAGAACAAGAUCAAGAAAAAUGGUUUAACAGCAAAAAUUAGGAAUCUGACCACUAUUCAAAGAAUAAUCUUAAACGAAAUAACAAAAUAUCAGGCAAGGUUAAAAUUUCAAAGUUGUGAAAGAUGGAUUUUGAAAUAUGCAUCUUUGACAUCAAUGUCUCUAACAAUAGAAGAAACACUUUUUUUAAAAAGAUUUAUCUGAAAGGCAUCAUAAUAGAGAAGAGGGGGAGGGGAAGGGGGAGAGAAAGAAAGAGAGAAUAUGAAUAUCUUCCAUCUGCUGGUUCAUUCCCCAAAUGGCCAAAGCCAGGAGUUGGGGGCUUUGAAGUUCCUUCCAGCUCUCCCACAUGGGUAGCAGGGGCCAAGUACUUGUGCCAUCUUCCACUGCUCUUCCCAUGUGCAUUAGCGGGGAACCAGAUGGGGAACAGAGCAGCCGGAACUUGAACUGAUGCUCUGAAAUGGGAUGCUGGCAACAAAGGUUGAAGAGUUAACUGCUACAACACUGGUCCCAAAACACUUUUGAAAAACAGCUUUACUAAGAAUUACAAACCAUAAAAUUUAGCUAUUUCAAGUGUAUUAAUCCAGUAUGCUUUGCUAAUUUACAGUUGUUCAUGACCACAAUCCAAUGUCAGAACAUUUCCAUCAGCUCUUUAGAUCCUUGGUGUCCUCUGUAAUCAUACCCUCAUGGCACCUCUCAUCCCCCAUAACUGCCUGGGUCUUUUCUGGCUAUGAUAUAUGAUAGCCCAUUCUAUGGCCACAUUUUGUUUAUCUGUUGGUUAAUGGGCAUUCAGGUUAUAUCUACUUUUUGGCAGCAAUAGAUAGUGCUGCUAUGAAAAAUAGUGAACAAAUCUUUGUGUAGACAUACUAGAGCUGCAAGGUUUAUUUAUUUGAAAGCAGAAGAAAAAAGAAAAGAAAGAGCAGAAAGAAGUAGAGCAGCCAGGACAGGAGUUAGGGCCCAGAGUGCCAGCAUCACAGAUGGUGGCUUAACCUGCAAUGCCACAGUGCUGGUCCCUGAAGCUACUUUUGAUACAGUAUUUUCUAAAGCACUUCAUCUUAAUUUUUAUUAAGGUGAAAUGUUACCUAAGAAUUGUGUAAACAGCCAUUGGCAUACUUUUAUACUGCCACCUUUUUUUUUUUUUUUUGAAAGGCAGAGUUAGAGAGAGAGAGACAGAGAGAGAGGUCUUCCUUCUGUUGGUUCACCCCCAAGAUGGCCGCCACAGCCGGUGCUGUGCCAAUCCGAAGCCAGGAGCCAGGUGCUUCUUCCUGGUCUCCCAUGCAGGUGCAGGGCCCAAGGACCUGGGCCAUCCUCCAUUGCCUUCCCGGGCCACAGCAGAGAGCUAGACUGGAAGAGGAGCAACCGGGACAGAAUCUGGCGCCCCAACCCGGACUAGAACCUGGACUAGAACCCGGAGUACCGGCGCCACAGGCGGAGGAUUAGCCUAGUGAGCCGUGGUGCCAGCCUGUACUGCUUUCUUAAGAUUUGUUAAUUCUUAAUGAUAUCUAACACUUGCAAUCAUAGAAUGAUAUCCUGCCCCUGCCUCCUUUUAGUACUUUACCUUUUUUCUUUUUUGUUUCAAUCAGUUUUGUCAAGCAUCCUUUAAUCUACAUCCCAAACUAUUACUGAUUGCUUUUUUAUCAAAAACUUAAUACUGUCAUCAUUUACCAGCUCCCUACAAGUGUUAAACUGCACAGCCUAAUCUUACAUAAUUUAAACAAUGUUAGUGAACAGACUGAGAGAAAGAAUUCAUAUCUUUUUUAUGUUAGAUGCGGUGAGAUCAGAAUUGCUUUGUCAUAGUAGCAAAAUAAAAAUCUCAUUAAAGAAAGGAAAAUGAAAUUAAAAGGGGGCAUGGAUUUUUACAAGAGUCAAAUGGCAAAAAGUAAUGAUUGAGAAAAGGAGUAAGACAACAGGUGAGUGGAAAACUCAGGGCUUACAUAAAAUUCAAAGCUUUAAAGAUGAAGAAAAAGGUGAUCUAGAAAUAAAAUCUGAGAAGGAACUUAAGAGAAAUUGAAGGUAGAUAUGUGUGAAAUGACAGUUUUUACCUAUUAAAAAUCAAUUAUAAAAACAACUGAAUUGUAUUACACAAUUUAGAGAAACUUAUUUCACAAAAUGAUAAUGAAUAAUAUCUUUCACGUGUAUGCUUCCCAGGGCUUAAGAGAGAUUAAAUACAUUUCCAUACCUUGAAAUGACCCAGUAAAAUCAAAAUCAUCUGUGCCUUUUCUCUUGCUUUUCUUAGUACUGAUGUUGGAACUGACUUCUUCAAGUUCUGUUAACCAAAAAAUUUUGUGAUUAAGUAAUUUAAAACAAUACAAUUGGAAAAUCAUUCAAGAGAUAUGCUGGAAUCUGCAAUCCAAUGGUAAAUAAAUGAAUCUUAAAAAAAGAAAAGUGCUUACCUGGAACAUCCUCAUUUUCAUCAUCCAACACAUCCAUGAAUGUUCCCCCAUCUUCAUCAAGUUCAGCAAAUUCUUCAUUCAUGCUUCCUAAAGAAACUUCAUCAUCAUCCAGGUUAUCAAGUUCAUCAUCACUGUCCUCUGAAUCUUUAUCUUCUGUGUUAUCCUUAGCUCUUCUUUUUUUUUUCAUGUUGCUAGAGGAAAAACAAAACAAAACAGACUUGUAAAAGAGGGUAGCAAUUUCCAAAGUGUAUUUUAGGGACUACUUGGAUGCUGGGUUGUUAAAUGACAUAAAUGGAGACCUAGGGACCACUUGGUAAAUACACUAAUGUACAUGUAUCAUAAACGUCCAAUAUUAAAGUACUGUGCCUACUCCCUAAACUUAUUGAAUACAUUUCCCCUUUUACAUCAUAUAGUUUAGUGUUCUACUGUUCUAAAGGGAAAGAUGGGAAAUGCUAGGAAAAGAAUAGAGAGAAGACUGAAGAAAGUAUUUACCUAGCAAAAUCAAGAUCAUCUCUUCCAGGAGUAAAACAGUUAUCAUCUUCAAAUGUGUCUGCCAGAGAACAAUAUCCAAAUUGUGAGAAAUAACAAACAACAAGGUUGAAACAUAUAUCUGAAUUAUUGUUAUACAAUAAUGAUUUGUUUAUGAUGAAUAAACACCAAAAUAAUCCAAA